rnacentral:lncRNA from 1 species
GGCUCCAGCCGAAUUCCCAGAAGGCAGAUGCUAGAAUCUGCAGCCUGGGCGGAAAGCACAAGCGUGGCCGGGAGGGUUGCUCCGUGCACCUGUGGUAUAGAGUGCGCUCACAGAAGCAGAGCCCCAGUCUACAGCAUGGCCACGUUUUAGUCUCUGCUGAAAAAUGUUGCUAGCAGGACCUGGACUGUUCAGAUUUCUCUUCUGAGGCUUCCAGCUCCAGGCUAAGUGAGUGCCUCAGUCACCCAGGCUCAGAAAUUAAUCAUACAGAAAUGAUCAAAACUAGGCCCAAAGAUGUUUGUAUAUGAAACCACCAAAGCAUUAUUUGUAGUACUGAAAAGUCAGAAACAUGGAUUUCCAGCAACUGAAUGGGUAAACCAGUGGUGGUCCUUCGAGCUUCAGAAAGAGCUCGUGGCUGUUACGUACGGAAUGGGUUAGACAAAAUAAAACAGCAAACUGAACAGGCCAACCCUCAAUGGACAAAUGCCGAGAAGAGAGCAUGGACGUUGGUUUGUUUCCUGCCUUCUCUCAGUAUACCCCAGGAAGUCUGCAGAGGAGUUAGAUACAAAUGAGAAAAAUAUAGAACCCAGAGGAUUGCAUGAUCAUUUUUUCCCCUAACAUCUGAUUCCAAACUGUUCAUGCUAAGAGACUUGGAGAAGACCAGAGACUGCAUUCUGAGCUGUAAGCCUCUUUUGGAACCUUUCUAAGUGCACACUGUAUGUAUGAGCUUUGGAAAUACAGAUCGAGCAGGUCUACAGAAACGAAGGGGGUUCAUCAUUACUGUCCUCGACUUUCUUUUGGGAUCUAAUUAAAGUUUUGCACACUUUCCUAAAAUGUGUUCUUGGUC